rnacentral:rRNA from 1 species
UACGAAGGGGGCUAGCGUUGCUCGGAAUUCCUGGGCGUAAAGCGCACGUAGGCGGCUUUCUAAGUCGGGGGUGAAAUCCUGGAGCUCAACUCCAGAACUGCCUUUGAUACUGAGGAUCUUGAGUUCGGGAGAGGUGAGUGGAACUGCGAGUGUAGAGGUGAAAUUCGUAGAUAUUCGCAAGAACACCAGUGGCGAAGGCGGCUCACUGGCCCGAUACUGACGCUGAGGCACGAAAGCGUGGGGAGCAAACAGG